UACAGAGGGGGCAAGUGUUGUUCGGAAUUACUGGGCGUAAAGGGCGCGUAGGCGGCCUGCUAAGUCGAACGUGAAAUCCCUGGGCUCAACCCAGGAACUGCGUCCGAUACUGGUUGGCUUGAAUCCGGGAGAGGGAUGUGGAAUUCCAGGUGUAGCGGUGAAAUGCGUAGAUAUCUGGAGGAACACCGGUGGCGAAGGCGGCAUCCUGGACCGGUAUUGACGCUGAGGCGCGAAAGCCAGGGGAGCAAACGGG
rnacentral:rRNA from 1 species